GUGCUCGCUUUGGCGGCAUAUAUACUAAAAUUAGAACAAUACAGAGAAUAUAGCAUGUCCUCUGCACAAGGGUAACACUCAAAUAAGCAAAGUGUUACAUAUAAAA